GAUCUUAAAUUCAGGAAAUUCCACACAAAACAUGUCCAAAAACAGGUCGGAGAUACGUAUAGCUAAAAUACUAGUACAACACGAUGAAGUGGACCUGUGUGUUGCUGCUUGUUACUUUGGUGGUUUUAACAGUUAUAGAACAGAGUGAUGCAGGCCCUAGAAGGACAAUUCCUACCCAAUGGCCUUUCGAAUGCUGUGAUUGCUUUAGAUCUCCCUGUAUCUGCGUUCUCCCUUACGUACCUGAGUGUGAAUUCCAUGGGUAAUAUUCUAAGGAAGCUUCAUCACCCCAUUAUUUACACGUACCUGGACCAAUCUUGAGGGUCAACGGAAAACGAAAUUAUGACAAUUGUAGGUUCCUUUAAAAUAAAAGGCUAACCGUUUUGUAA